rnacentral:lncRNA from 1 species
GCGGAUACGGCGAGUGCGCGAACGACGACGUCUCCAGCAGAUCGCAGCGCAGACGUUCGGGUCCGGCGACAUUGGCACUAUGGACGUGUUGAGGCGAGGAACCUAGACGUGACGGCGAGGCACGCGUCGCGGUGGAUAGCGAUUGCGCGAGGGCAAGAACGGACACGGUUGCUGCGUUUGUGCAAGGGAGAGGGGUGAGCGGGGCCGGCACUCAAAUGUGCGUCUGGGGCAGGGGGUUUGCCUAAGAAGCUACGACGUGGGGGACGCGGUGCAUGCUGGGAGCGAGUGGCGCGGCGGCUGGGCCUAGGGCGCGCGGGGGAACAGGUCACGCUGGGCCAGCACGAGAGCGCUGCUGGUCGUGCGAGGUGGUUGGGCCGAGGAGGGCACGUGUGCCGAGGGUGAUGGUGCAACGGCGCAGGCUAGGAGCCGGGCCGUGAGUAGGCUGAAAGGGGGAAAGGGGCUGCUUCUCUUUUUCUAUUUCUUUUUAUUUUCUUCUUCUUUACUUUAUCUAUUUCUCUUAAAACUCAUGCAUAACUCAAACUAAAUGAAUGCACAUCAAGUUAAUUCACCAAACAAAAAUAGGUAUGCUCCAGCAUGAUGCAACAAUCAUAGCUCUCCUAGGGAUCUAUUCCACUAAGUUUGAUAUUUAUAUAACACAAACUAACUCUCCAUUAUUAAAAAAAAGAAAAGCAAGUAAAGGAGAAGGUAACACCUGAAUUUGGUGGAUAUUAGAAAAGAAAUUUUAUACCCCCAAAUUCAAGGUGUUACAAAUCUAACCCCCUAAACAGAAUCUCACCCUCGAGAUUCAAGGAGGGUCUAGCAAGAAAAAGAGGUUGGUUCAUUAGUCUUCCAUAACUUCUUAUAACUCAACUUUGACUCUGGCUACUUUAACUUGCGGACUGGUUGCUUUGACCUUCAGAUGCUUGAGACCGAUUGAUUCAAUUCUUGAGGAUCUAUGGACCUGUGGGUUAGGACCCACACACGCUUUCGAUGCGCCACUUCAACCUUGUUGGUUGAUGUUGAUCACAUUGUCUUCAUUGGGGUUAGCGGCUAACCCCCUAAACAGAAGCGUUGAUAUGCACUUAGUGAAGAUGCUGCCGACUCUGAUCUUGACUAAUUAAGAGAGGUUGGAGAAUGCCAACUGGACAGGUGCAAGAGGGAAGGGUAUAGAUAGAAAAGGUAAGCACAAAUGGAUUAAAGAGAGUAGGGGAGAGAACCCAAUUACCUAAUUAUAUGGCACUCACCUGGUAAAUUGAUGUCAUUGCGGACCAAGGGUCACAACACAUCAACACUCAGCACAAAGAAGCAAAUCAGUCAUAACACAAGGACAAACAACACAAGCAUACAACAACACAGAUCUCGUUGCUACACGUUAAUGUUAACUAGAUGGUGGUCUUUCCUUACCAAGGGGAAACUACUCUAAGGCCAUCGAAAGGAUAGGGGAAUGAUAAGACAUGCAGGAUAGGGGCAUGAGCAUGAUAAAGGAUGAAGCUAAAGCAUUGUAACCAGCAAGGGAGAGAAUGCAACAAAGGUUAGGAUAGGUAAAACAUCAUUCUCAAAUCGAGAUGGGAAAGAUGAUAUUUCAAAAGGUAGGCAUAGGAUAAGCAUCAUAAAAAGAUCUAGAGAUUACAAAGGUAAGCGAGGUAACAGGCAAAAGCUCACCAAAAUAUUGAGUUAAGGCAAGACUUGCAACGCGACAGAGGAAAAAGGGAACGAACAAGAGCGAGAUGGGUAAGACAUCACUCUUGAAAUGAAAUGGGAGAGGAGACUUUAAAAUGCAGGUGCAAGAUAAGCAUCAUGGUAAAGAUCAAGGGAUGAUAAGGGUUAAGGUGAUAACAGACAAACACAAUCAAGGAUGUAUUUUAGACAAAACUUGCAAGGCGUCGAAGAAGGGGGUGCAAUCAAUGGUGAAGUGGGUGAGGCAUUACCCUCGAACAGGGACGGAAAAGAGGAGACUUUAAAAGGUAGGUUCAAAGUAAGCAUGAGGGUAAGGGUACGGUAUGGAUAUUACAAGGGUUAAAGGUGAUAACGGACAAAAAUGUAAGAGAGAAGGUAAAUGGGCAUAAGAACAAAGGAUAUAAGUACCACAAAGGAUGGAGUUAAGACAAAACCUGCAAUUAGAAAAGAAGAGGGUACGUCCAAGGACCAGAUAGGUAAACUGCCACUCUUAAAUUGAGGUGGAAGAGAGGAGAUUUUUUUUAAAGAGCAGGAAUAAAGAUGAGUGUCAACGCAAGAUCGAGGAUGACAAGGUGAUAGCGAUAGCAAAUAAAAACACAUCAAAGGAUGGAAUUAAGACAAAAUUUGUAAGGCAACAAGGAGUGAAAAGAAAUCGAGGGAGAGAUAGGUAACUCGCAACUCUCAAACUGGGUUAAAAAAAGGGAAGGCUUUUAAAGGAUAAGUUCAAGGUAAGCAUUUAGGUAAAGAUAUAGAUAUUACAAGGGUUAAAGGCGAUAACGGACAAGGGUGUAAGGGAAGAGGUGAAAGUGCAGGGGAACCAAGGGUACGAGUACAAUACAGAAUGAAGCUAAGGGAACCAAGGGUACGAGUACAAUAAAGAAUGAAGCUAAGGCCAGGCUGGCACGUGGCAAAUGUGAGGUUACGACCAAAAGGCGGGAUAAGUAGAAUACCACUCUCAAAAUGAGAUGGGAGGUUGGAGAUUUUAGAUAACAGACAUAAUAUAAUCACAAGGUAGGAUAGAGUGAUGAGAAGGGUAAAGGAGACGACAAACAAAGCACAACAAAUGAUAGAGUUAAAACUCGCAGGUGACAAAGAAGAGGAUACGACCAAGGGAAAAGUAGGUACAGUACAAUGCUCAGAUUGAGAUGGAAAAGAUGAUAUUUUUAAAGGCUAGUAUAAGAUAAACCUCAAGGUAAGAUAUAGAGGAGUUAAGGAUAAAGGUGGUAAUGAUGAAAAACAUAAUCCAUGGACAAAGUCAAGGCAAGACUCACGAAAUGGCAAGGUGGAGAAAACAAUCAAGGAUAAGAUAAGUGAGGUUCUGACAGAAGAGUUGAAGUAAAAAUUCAUUACCGAAGGAAGUUACAAGGAACUAACGAGAUCACCAAGGAUGUGCAAAAUAAAAUGACCGCUCAUGGAUCAUUAAGAAGCAAGGGUGGUCAAGGGCAUGUUAACUGAAAUGUCUUAAACAAACAUGGGGUAUGAAGAUAAGCAUACAUGAAAAAUAUAAGAGUAUGCAAGAUUCCAAGGAUACAAGCAUGCUAAGACCAAGGGAAUAGAAAUUGUUGUCAGAUAACGACUUAACACAGAAUAGGAAAGGAUCUCAAAAGACAGAAAGAUCAUGGCCAUAUAAACUGAAAUGUUUAAAUAGGCAAUAAAGUUUUCAGAGGUAAGUAUUUGAAACAAGAAUAUUGAAGAAUCUAGGGGUACAAGCAUGUCAAUACCAAGGGAAUAGGGAUGGUCAAAUGGUAGCAAUUUAAUAAUGGAAGAGAAAACAAUCCCAGAAGACAAGAUGGUUAGGGACAUCUACAAAGAUGUCGCAAGCACAAGAGUGAGAUCAGAUCUAAUAGAUUAAGAAAAGUAUAGAUCAUACUAGAAUAAAAUACUUUUGGCAAGGUGGCAUAUAGAAGCAUAGCAUAGAAUUAGUCGAGGUGACUAAUAUUUUGAAGCAGCAUCAAGGAUGAGGUGAAGUAAUAAUCAAUAAGUCCGUAAAACGGCCAAUGCUACUCUAGGCUAGCGGUCCUACAGUCAGCACGACUUUGAUACCACUUAUGUCACACCCGGUUUUGGAAGGUAAACCGAAUGCGAACCAUGUACGUGCCAGGAUCAGAAAUUCACGUACACGGCGAUUACAUAAAUGACUCAUCAUAGCACAAUGCUUCGAAUAACAAUAAAGAGUAAGUAAUAAUAUAAAGACUAGAGUCAUUUACAUAAUAUAAUCAAAGUACACAGAAUAGAAACGUAGCCAACGUAAAUAAACCCACAACAGGCAGCUGACUGGGGGUGGUCGCUAGCCUAAUCCUCGAACUCGUCGAAGUCCUGGAACUCCUGGAGAUCCGCCUCGACGCCUUCUUCUUUACUUGAGCAUAGAUUGCACCAAAGGCAACCUGGUGUUUUGUGAAAGCAAGGGUGAGUACACAUCAACGUACUCAGCAAAUGUCCUGUUUGGCUGAAGUGGACUAGCUUUAUGUGGGGUUAAGGUCAAAGCAGAUUGCUUUUAGUUGGUCAGAUAUUUAUUAUUAGUGGAAACCAAGUUUUAUCAUAUAACCAACCCGUGAACCAUUUCCUCAUCAAGGAAACCUCAUUAUCAUCAUCGAACCGAAAUAAUAAAAAGAAUCAUUGUAUCUCGAACCAUCUGUAUCUCUAAUAAAAGAGGAUCCCAAGGCCGCUCAUAACCGUGAGCACGGCUGAUAUAUCAGUUUCACUACCCUCUGCAGAGGUCGCACACUUUACCCAUGAGUCGUGAUUCCCUUUCUGCCCGGGGAGAGCUAAUCCCCAUUGAUCACUUCCUAGGUGGUCCGGCAGGGUAUCACUACGUAGCUGUUACAAAGAUUCCCUAGAGGUCAUAGCCGCCCGUUAGGUUUCUCCAGUUUGAUAAACACAGUACCUCUCCCCGCAGGAGGGUGACUAACAAAAGCAAAACGAAAGAACCUCGGCACUCAGCCUCGGCAGAGCAAGCACUGUGCCUGGACCCCAUUGACGGCACGACGGCGAAGCAACUACACCUCUAGUUCUUCUAAUUAAUUAGCUAAGGGCAUCCCAUUUCACCCUCAUGGUUGCACUGUUAUCCCGGGUGGUCUCUCAAUGAACAGGUCCUUACGGAGAGGUACUCGGGAAACAGCCCGAGUCCCCUAAAUGCCACAAGUAUAUCAUCAUAUCCAGAAUCAAAUCAUAGUGUCAUCAUUGUAUCUCAUCAUGUUCAUUGAUUAAAGUAAAGCGCUAGCAUGUAGCUAACCAUAGUAACCCAAAAGGUAAAUCAAGGACCAGGUAAAUAGAAAGCUAGUAAAUCCUUAGGUUGUUCAUAGUAUGCGAGGCAAUGUAUUAUAAAGUAAAUGGGACAUAAUGGGACAGAGGACACUUGCCUUCACCAAACAGAUGCUCAGGUUCUUCAACUUCAUGGAACUCGAAGAGCUAGAUCACAGGACCAGAUCACUUGGUCGCCAACGCCUGAUCGUCGAUUCCUCGAAGCUUGGAAACGAACCGCGAUCUAGUCGCAACGCGAAGCGAACAUAAACAGGCACAAGCAAACAAACAUAUAUGCAUAAGAACAUUACAUCAUUCAAAGAAAAACAUAAUAAAACAUGCAAAAUGAAAUAAAGCGCGUUGCUACAGUCACGCGAGGAAAAAGAAACGUGAUAGCCGAAGCUACGACCGAGAAGUUAUAACGUUUACGCUACGCAAGUAGUAGUCAGGAUAUUUAAUUCGAUAUUAUAAAAUAUAAAUUAUAACUGCUAUGUAGAUUUGAUUAAAUCUGCUACACUAACAGUUGUCAAAUAAAUAAGUAAUAUAAUUAGCACGAGAGAUUCUAAGCGAGGUGAAUUUACGACGCGCAAAACAGUACGACAAUGUGCGGACGACGCGCGGACACGCGCGACAUAGCACGCUGACGGCACACGAACAGUGCGCACGACCAGCGCGAGUGACGCACGAAUCAGCAUGCGACUACGAGCGCAUCACGCACGAACAACGCGCGGACAACACGUGAACGACGCACGAAGCAGCACGCCACCGCGCGCGGAAUAGCACCCGCGACAAACAAGAAUAGCUAAACAGGUGACACGUUCAUACUAAACGAAUGUUAAAUAAAUAGAAAGUAGUUAAAUUAAUAUUAGCAAUGUUAAUAUUUAUUAUAAGAGCCCAAGAUAAACACUGCACAUUUAAUCUGAUUGGAAUAUUAAUCUAAUAAAUAUUAGUCGAGCAAUCCUUAAGUUAGUUAUCUAAAAUAUAUGAUAUGAUGCAUUAACAUCGUUAACAUGAGUGUUUAUAAGCGACAAACUAUUUAUUAUCACGCGUAGACGACGUGCGACACACGUGAUCGUCACGCGACGACGCACGCACAUGACGUGUGAUGACACGUGACACUGUACGAAACAACGCGCACGACAGCGCGCGAGUCAACGUGACUACACGCACGACAUGCGCAGAACGAUGCGCGAACGACGCGCGACGACUUGACACAGAACGACACAACAUAAGAGAAUUAUUAAGUUACGCCGUGCUUAUACUAAACAAAUAUUAAUUAUACCAUUUAAGUUGGCAUAAUCACAUUAACAUGUAUUUAUAAAGUCGCAAAUUAAGAGUAUAGAUUAGUUUUAAUUGCAACGCUACUUUAAUAAUCAUCGAAUGAACAAGAGAUUAAAUAAUUAAUUAAAAUAUGUGAUAUGACAAAAUAAUAUUUUAACACGCAGACGACGUUAUUAUGGAGCUAGCGUAACUAGAACGGUAUGAAACGUAUUUAUAACACAACAUAUAUUGAAUAAAUAACAAAUCACGGCUUUACAGCGACGUGGCGUGAUUCUAUUGAUUGGGAACUUGUCACACGAUGGGCCACACGAGGAGCUACCACAGGACAUCCUGGAUCCAUUAUGAGGGGCGGUUGUUUCAUGCAGGAAAUAGUGGAGGCUAUGACUCACGCCAUGCUUGUGGGGCCCAGGCAAUUCCAUGCGUGAGACGCGCGCACUAGGGAUGAAAACGGAAACGGUAUUUUUCGGAUACCGGGAAUCGUUUUCGAAGUUUUACCGAAAUUUAGGUCUAAACGGAAACGGAAACGGUUACCGAAAAUACGGAAAUGGAAUCGGUAGAAAAACUCGGAAUCGAAAACGGAAACGGUUUAGGCUUUUUCCGACCGUUUCCGGAAAUUACCGUUUUUAUCCGGUAUUUUACCGUCGGUAAUAAAUUCGGUAUUUUUUUCAGAAAAAUAUUAAAUAUGAACUGACUUUUAUAAAUUCAUAAUAAAUUCAUCUUAGCUUAGAAAAAUGUGAAACUAAUUUUAUUAUUUUUCUAAAAUCAAGAUCUAUCUAAUGAUAUAUAGUUUAGAAUCGUUUGAAACUUUUAUAAAUCUUAUUUAUGUUUUCUUAUCUAUUAUUACUCUUGAUACAUAUAUUAAUAAUUUGCACGAGAACUUAAGAAGGACUAAGAGGACACUAAUUAUAUUGAUUAUGCCAAGUAGUAGGGGUACACAUAGAAUGUCAGUGUCAUAUCAUUAUACAUAUCUUGAUUCUACUUUAUUUAAAUGCAUAAUAUUGAUUUUAUUAUUGUAUACUUCUUACCUUAUAUAUUUAUUGUGACCUCCUACCUUAUAUAUUAUUACUAAUUUUAUAUGAAUGCAUGACCUGCGUGAUUUUUUGAAGUCAAUUGAGGGUACAUGUUAAAAUUUUUACCGAUUGAAUUUUAGAUUCCGAUCGUAACCGGUGUAAUUUUCGUACCGAACUUUCGUUUCCGAUGUUUCCGAAUUACCGAUGUCGUUUUCGUUUCCGGAGUUACCGUUUUCGAUAUCGUUUCCGAGGAAAAAUAUGAAAACGAAAAUGGUUUUAGUGUUUACCGAUCGUUUCCGACCGUUUUCACCCCUAGCGCGCACACUGCACAACCGUGGUCGCAUGGGGGCAUGCAGUGGGGUGGUUUUCUCUCUCUUCUCCAAUGAAACCGCACGCACGACAUCUGCUCGUCCGCUCCUUUUCACGAACGCAGGGAAGAGAAAACCGCCAUAGCACUAUAGCAGCAGGGACCUUGGUUGAAGGAGCUAGCCGCGCAAGGGGUGCAGGGAUGGCCGGUCGGCUACGAUGCUGCGCAGAGGCUGAAGGCGAGCAGGCCAAAGGCGAGCUCCGCCAUGGCUGCGCACAGCACGAAGAGGAUAGACCAUGAUGAGAGAGGGGUGCAAGAUGAAACCAUCGCUCACCUCAGCGGAUACGGCGAGUGCGCGAACGACGACGUCUCCAGCAGAUCGCAGCGCAGACGUUCGGGUCCGGCGACAUUGGCACUAUGGACGUGUUGAGGCGAGGAACCUAGACGUGACGGCGAGGCACGCGUCGCGGUGGAUAGCGAUUGCGCGAGGGCAAGAACGGACACGGUUGCUGCGUUUGUGCAAGGGAGAGGGGUGAGCGGGGCCGGCACUCAAAUGUGCGUCUGGGGCAGGGGGUUUGCCUAAGAAGCUACGACGUGGGGGACACGGUGCAUGAUGGGAGCGAGUGGCGCGGCGGCUGGGCCUAGGGCGCGCGGGGGAACAGGUCACGCUGGGCCAGCACGAGAGCGCUGCUGGUCGUGCGAGGUGGUUGGGCCGAGGAGGGCACGUGUGCCGAGGGUGAUGGUGCAACGGCGCAGGCUAGGAGCCGGGCCGUGAGUAGGCUGAAAGGGGGAAAGGGGCUGCUUCUCUUUUUCUAUUUCUUUUUAUUUUCUUCUUCUUUACUUUAUCUAUUUCUCUUAAAACUCAUGCAUAACUCAAACUAAAUGAAUGCACAUCAAGUUAAUUCACCAAACAAAAAUAGGUAUGCUCCAGCAUGAUGCAACAAUCAUAGCUCUCCUAGGGAUCUAUUCCACUAAGUUUGAUAUUUAUAUAACACAAACUAACUCUCCAUUAUUAAAAAAAAGAAAAGCAAGUAAAGGAGAAGGUAACACCUGA